rnacentral:ncRNA from 1 species
AGGAGUUGCCAAGAGUAAGACACUUGAUUUAAAGUCUAGCUGAUAAGUAGGUAUUCCAUAAGAAUACACUUCUACUACGAACUCAGUCGCAAGUUGUGAGAUUAGCUACCUCAUGAUUUAGUGAACGUCAGUAACGUUGCAGUUAUUUAUAUUUAGAAGUUAUAAAUAUUACUGCUAAAUAACUCCUC